rnacentral:rRNA from 1 species
UGGGGAAUAUUGCACAAUGGGCGAAAGCCUGAUGCAGCGACGCCGCGUGAGGGAUGACGGCCUUCGGGUUGUAAACCUCUUUCAGCAGGGAAGAAGCGAAAGUGACGGUACCUGCAGAAGAAGCACCGGCUAACUACGUGCCAGCAGCCGCGGUAAUACGUAGGGUGCGAGCGUUGUCCGGAAUUAUUGGGCGUAAAGAGCUUGUAGGCGGUUUGUCGCGUCUGCCGUGAAAUUUCGGGGCUCAACCCCGAACUUGCGGUGGGUACGGGCAGACUAGAGUGUGGUAGGGGAGACUGGAAUUCCUGGUGUAGCGGUGAAAUGCGCAGAUAUCAGGAGGAACACCGAUGGCGAAGGCAGGUCUCUGGGCCACUACUGACGCUGAGAAGCGAAAGCAUGGGGAGCGAACAGG